rnacentral:rRNA from 1 species
GGUUAACGCUGGCGGCGUGCCUAACACAUGCAAGUCGAACGGUUCUAAGCGCGAGCUUAGGAUAGUGGCGAACGGGUGAGUAAAGGGUAGGAAUCUACCCCUUGGACGGAGAUAGCUACUGGAAACGGUAGGUAAACUUCGAUAAGCCCGAGAGGGGAAAGUGGUGAGACAGCCGAGGGAUGAGCCUACUCUCCAUCAGGUAGUUGGUGAGAUAAAAGCUUACCAAGCCGAUGACGGAUAACCGGUGUGAGAGCAUGAACGGUCACAAGGGCACUGAGAGACGGGCCCUACUCCUACGGGAGGCAGCAGUGGGGAAUCUUGGACAAUGGGCGAAAGCCUGAUCCAGCGACGCCGCGUGGAGGAAGAAGUCCUUCGGGAUGUAAACUUCUGAACUAGCCGAAUAAAAGGACCUGUGGACACAACAGGAGAAGAAAGUAGGCUAGGAAAAGUACCCGGCUAACUACGUGCCAGCAGCCGCGGUAAAAGACUCUAAU